rnacentral:lncRNA from 10 species
UGUGGAGCGAGGCCUUGUUCCCGCGUUGAGCCGCCGCCGCCGCCGCCGCCUCCUCAGCUUCAGCCUCCGCGCCAGGCCCGGCCCCGCCGCGCCAUGUCGGACUACAGCACGGGAGGACCCCCGCCCGGGCCGCCGCCGCCCGCCGGCGGGGGCGGGGGAGCCGGAGGCGCCGGGGGAGGCCCUCCGCCGGGCCCGCCAGGCGCGGG